rnacentral:rRNA from 1 species
GGUUAAAAAGCUCGUAGUUGGAUCUCGGCAAGUAGAGGGCGGUAUGCUUCGUAGCAUUACUGCCCUAUUACUUGUAGUUUUGCCAGAGGUUCCUGGGUGCUCUUAAUCGAGUGUCUAGGGAUGCUGGCAGGUUUACUUUGAAAAAAUUAGAGUGCUCAAAGCAGGCUAUUACGCUUGAAUAUUCGUGCAUGGAAUAAUAGAAUAGGAAGUCGUUUCUAUUUUGUUGGUUUUCGGAAAUCGACUUAAUGAUUAAUAGGGACAGUCGGGGGCAUUUGUAUUCAAACGACAGAGGUGAAAUUCUUGGACCGUUUGAAGACAAACUACUGCGAAAGCAUUUGCCAAGAAUGUUUUCAUUAAUCAAGAACGAAAGUUAGAGGUUCGAAGGCGAUUAGAUACCGCCCUAGUUCUAACCAUAAACGAUGCCAGCUAGCGAUCUGCCGACGUUUUCUUUGUAGACUCGGCAGGAAGCUUCCGGGAAACCAAAGCAUUUGGGUUCCAGGGGAAGUAUGGUUGCAAAGCUGAAACUUAAAGGAAUUGACGGAAGGGCACCACCAGGGGUGGAGCCUGUGGCUUAAUUUGACUCAACACGGGAAAUCUCACCAGGCCCGGACACUGGAGGGAUUGACAGAUUGAUAGCUCUUUCU